GCCGAAGAUACUCUCCUGUCUCUGAGACCCUGAGGUCCCCUACAACGCCUAGGACGUGAGCAUGAGCAAAUGCAGAUGUUUCCCCACGAACAAGGGUCCGGUAAACUCUGAGGACACCUUGAAUACUGACGGGUCAACGCCUCUUCAAAGAAGAACAGGCUCGGGAGUAGAGUCCAGACUGAUGGAGCAGGAGCCCAGGGGCUCUGGAACUAAAGGGACACCAGGAUAGAAGAAGCAGGACUCAUUUUUUCAGCAAGGAACAGAAGGAUGAGAAGAAAGACAACCAGAUGAAAAAAUGGGCAAAAGACUGGCUGACAUUUGUAAAUGGCCAGCAAACACGUAACAAGAUGCUCAACCCC